rnacentral:rRNA from 1 species
ACAGCAGUAGCCGCGGUAAUACGUAGGUCCCGAGCGUUGUCCGGAUUUAUUGGGCGUAAAGCGAGCGCAGGCGGUUAGAUAAGUCUGAAGUUAAAGGCUGUGGCUUAACCAUAGUACGCUUUGGAAACUGUUUAACUUGAGUGCAGAAGGGGAGAGUGGAAUUCCAUGUGUAGCGGUGAAAUGCGUAGAUAUAUGGAGGAACACCGGCGGCGAAAGCGGCUCUCUGGUCUGUAACUGACGCUGAGGCUCGAAAGCGUGGGGAGCAAACAGGAUUAGAUACCCCCGUAGUCCCUGUCUCUUAUACA